GGACCAAUCCUCAUCAGGGAAUCACACAGCUUGCUUUGCAUGCCUGGCAGAAUCACUCAUGGGAACACACAAUGAACAUACACUAAACGGCAGCCAGCAGCGGCCGUAACGCUGUGGCUUUGUGAAAAAUGUUUUGUCUGUCAGUUUGAACCCUGCUGCAAGACAGCAACCACAAAUAUUACUGCAACUUUGGCGUCCACGGUGACUCCAGCGUCCACAGCAGACCAUCAGAAAGAAACAUGUAUGGUUACUAUGGUGCCAGAGGACACUGAAGACCAUCCCUACAGCAAAGACUUGAGCAGUGAUGUUACUGUGGCCAGACAAGAGGACACGUCUUCAAAGUGUCUUGUGCUAUGAAAGAUCCAACAAGCCAAACAGCAACCAUGUGAGUCCAGUUGUCUGUUAAUUCAUGUCAUUACUCAGGAUGAAGGCAUGCUGCAAUACCUUAAGAAAAUCAUCAGAGGCAACAUUGUGUCUCCCUGGGCCAAGAAGGAGGACAGGGUCUUCAUUCUUUUUGAAGAUGAUGACCAAGUGGACCAGGUGAUGCACUUCUUGUCUGGAGUGGUUGAAAGUCCACAGACAGAUAAGAAGUCUGCAGAUCCUGUGGCUUCAAUCAUACAGAGUCGGAGCCAUAGAUGGUAGGAGCAUUCAGUCAGAAGCAGGAAGAGGACGAGGAACAGCGGAGACAAACAUAUGUGCCAAGGCUGGUGGUGGUGCUGGUGACCUGGGUGGAGGUGUCCGUUUUCCCUGUGUCCCCUGGGAUUUGGGUAUUCACUGUGUGUGCGCGUGUCACAUGACCUGGUGAUUUGAGUAUUUUAAUUUAGACUCCUCUUCACUAGCUGCAUUUCACCACGAGCCUAAGCCUGAACAGAUUUAUUUCUUUUGGUUUGAGUGAACACAUUGUGCUUUUAAACAAUCUAUUAAAGUGUGCAUUAUUUUAACAUUUGGAAUCACGUCUCCUGCAUUUUUACGAGUAGAACUUACUUGCGUGUACUUAAUUGGUAUAAAAUAAUCUUUGGGUGAAAGUCCCAAAGUGGUGUUGUCGGCUCCUUAACUUUAAAAUCUAUUACUUAGUUAGGUUUCCUCCUUACUCUUACAAAUAGGUUGACACAAGAGGGGGAGGAGCGGAAUGUACCAAGUCAUUGAAAGUAUACCCGCGGCCUUAAAAUCAGUGUAUCAGUGUAGCUGUAACUUGUGCAGGAGUAGCUCCACCUGUAAUUAUUCCAUGUGCAUGUCCAUAUUGACCAAAUAAAAAAAUGGCAGCUGAACUUGUAGUCAGUUAAAAACGUUAAAAACAGAGGGAAACCCACCACUGUAGGAAAUGCUGCCAUCUGCUGGACGUUCUUUCCCCCUAUAUCUUUUAAAGGUCCUUAUCUUCAAAGUAUCAGCAUAGAUAAUUAAGUCAGUGUUGAAAUUCCAUAUGUUGUGUGUAAAUUGCCACAGCUGUUUGCUGUCAUGUUACAAUUCACUGAUAUUUUGUUUUUGCAUUUCACAGUUGGACACAAAAUAAUGCAUUUGUAGCACCCUUUGUUUCCAAUUUCAUCUUCAUUCCUCUUAAAAAAACUGUUUUAAGUCACUCACAGUGGUAGUAUGUUAUUUUGUUUAAAAACAUAAUAAAGAAUAUCUUGGGCUGUGACAUAUUUCUGCCAAAUUUGGUGCAAUUUAAGAUUCUACUUUGGAAGCGCUACUGAGCCAUUUUACACCACUUUGACACUAUACCCCUUAUUUUAUAAUUUUUUUUGCCAGUUCUGCUUUAUGUGCCAAUUUUUUGUUACUGACCCCAACCCUUGAAGACAAUUGAUAGUUGUUUUAUUUAUGUUAGCUAGAGUCUUUGGCUUUGAUAUACAUAUUUGACUUAAUUAAUGAACUCAUAUGUUUUAAGGUUUAAGAAACAGUGAAUUUCUUUUGCGUUAGAAAUGACAAAAAGUUGUCUCUGCAAUUUCAACAGCUGCUCCAAUUUUUGUUGUUGGUCAAUUAAUAAUAAUGCAUUUUCUCACUUGUUGGAAUUCACCAUUUGUUUCAUCGCUUAUAUAUAUUUAUUUAUUUAUUUAUUUAUAUGUUCAUUUCUGUCAUGACAUUUAGAUCACUCAUCACACAUC